GACGAACCGUGCAAACGUUAUUCGGAAUCACUGGGCAUAAAGGGCUCGUAGGCGGUCUGUCGCGUCGGGAGUGAAAACUCAGGGCUUAACCCUGAGCCUGCUUCCGAUACGGGCAGACUAGAGGUAUGCAGGGGAGAAUGGAAUUCCUGGUGUAGCGGUGAAAUGCGCAGAUAUCAGGAGGAACACCAGUGGCGAAGGCGGUUCUCUGGGCAUUACCUGACGCUGAGGAGCGAAAGUGUGGGGAGCGAACAGG
rnacentral:rRNA from 1 species